AUUGCACGCUGGCGGCAGGCCUAACACAUGCAAGUCGACCGAGUGGCGGACGGGUGAGUAAUGUCUGGGAAACUGCCUGCUGGAGGGGGAUAACUACUGGAAACGGUAGCUAAUACCGCAUACCAUCGGAUGUGCCCAGAGGGGAUUAGCUAGUAGGUGGGGUAAAGGCUCACCUAGGCGACGAUCCCUAGCUGGUCUGAGAGGAUGACCAGCCAAACUGGAAAUGAGACACGGUCCAUACGCCUACGGGAGGCAGCAGUGGGGAAUAGUGCACAAUGGGCGCAAGCCUGAUGCAGCCAUGCCGCGUGUAUGAAGAAGGCCUUAGGGUUGGAAAGUACUUUCAGCGGGGAGGCGUUACCCGCAGAAGAAGCACCGGCUAACUCCGGGCCAGCAGCCGCGGUAAUAC
rnacentral:rRNA from 1 species